GGAGGGGUGGCAGAGUGGUCGAAUGCGGCGGUCUUGAAAACCGUUAUCCUGCGUGAGCGGGAUCGGGGGUUCGAAUCCCUCCCCCUCCGCCA
rnacentral:tRNA from 1 species